GAGUUUGAUCCUGGCUCAGAUUGAACGCUGGCGGCAGGCCUAACACAUGCAAGUCGAACGGUAGCACAGAGGAGCUUGCUCCUUGGGUGACGAGUGGCGGACGGGUGAGUAAUGUCUGGGAAACUGCCCGAUGGAGGGGGAUAACUACUGGAAACGGUAGCUAAUACCGCAUAACGUCGCAAGACCAAAGAGGGGGACCUUCGGGCCUCUUGCCAUCGGAUGUGCCCAGAUGGGAUUAGCUAGUAGGUGGGGUAACGGCUCACCUAGGCGACGAUCCCUAGCUGGUCUGAGAGGAUGACCAGCCACACUGGAACUGAGACACGGUCCAGACUCCUACGGGAGGCAGCAGUGGGGAAUAUUGCACAAUGGGCGCAAGCCUGAUGCAGCCAUGCCGCGUGUAUGAAGAAGGCCUUCGGGUUGUAAAGUACUUUCAGCGAGGAGGAAGGCGUUGUGGUUAAUAACCGCAACGAUUGACGUUACUCGCAGAAGAAGCACCGGCUAACUCCGUGCCAGCAGCCGCGGUAAUACGGAGGGUGCAAGCGUUAAUCGGAAUUACUGGGCGUAAAGCGCACGCAGGCGGUCUGUCAAGUCGGAUGUGAAAUCCCCGGGCUCAACCUGGGAACUGCAUCCGAAACUGGCAGGCUAGAGUCUUGUAGAGGGGGGUAGAAUUCCAGGUGUAGCGGUGAAAUGCGUAGAGAUCUGGAGGAAUACCGGUGGCGAAAGCGGCCCCCUGGACAAAGACUGACGCUC
rnacentral:rRNA from 1 species